AGUGAACGCUGGCGGUAGGCCUAACACAUGCAAGUCGAACGGCAGCACAGGAGAGCUUGCUCUCUAGGUGGCGAGUGGCGGACGGGUGAGGAAUACAUCGGAAUCUGCCCAGUCGUGGGGGAUAACGUAGGGAAACUUACGCUAAUACCGCAUACGACCUUCGGGUGAAAGAGGGGGAUCGCAAGACCUCUCGCGAUUGGAUGAGCCGAUGUCGGAUUAGCUAGUUAGCGGGGUAAUGGCCCACCAAGGCGACGAUCCGUAGCUGGUCUGAGAGGAUGAUCAGCCACACUGGAACUGAGACACGGUCCAGACUCCUACGGGAGGCAGCAGUGGAGAAUAUUGGACAAUGGGCGCAAGCCUGAUCCAGCCAUACCGCGUGGGUGAAGAAGGCCUUCGGGUUGUAAAGCCCUUUUGUUGGGAAAGAAAUCUUUCAGGCUAAUACCCUGGGAGGAUGACGGUACCCAAAGAAUAAGCACCGGCUAACUUCGUG
rnacentral:rRNA from 1 species